GGGGACCUUCGGGGCCCUUCACACCAUAGCCGCCCCACGGGGUGGCGCACAGCUAAACGGAAGACAGACA
rfam:Sulfitobacter sp. AM1-D1, complete genome.